GUCCAAGGUGAUUCCCUCUCCAAAGGGCUGACUAGUGCCCCUUUCAGGAAUGUAGCAACUUGGAAGAAAAUCUGACAUGUCUGAGGUCUGGGGAACAAGGGUUGCUUGUUGCCUUUGUCCGCCUACUUGUAUGCCUAAUCAG
rnacentral:snoRNA from 1 species